GAGGUCCCGCCUGCCCUGUGAUGUAAUGUUAACGGCCGCGGUAUUUUGACCGUGCGAAGGUAGCGCAAUCACUUGUCUUUUAAAUGAAGACCUGUAUGAAUGGCACGACGAGGGCUUGACUGUCUCCUUUUUCAGGUCAAUGAGAUUGAUCUCCCCGUGCAGAAGCGGGGAUAACAAUAUAAGACGAGAAGACCCUAUGGAGCUUUAGACACAAGACAGACCAUGUUAAUAACUGCCAAACAAAGCAUUAAACUAAAUGGACCCUGCCGGAAUGUUUUUGGUUGGGGCGACCGCGGGGAAAAACAAAACCCCCAUGAGGAAAUAGGAGAAAGACUCCUAAAAGCCAGAGCACCUGCUCUAAUUAACAGAAUUUCUGACACUAAGAUCCGGCAAUGCCGAUCAACGAACCGAGUUACCCUAGGGAUAACAGCGCAAUCCUCUUCUAGAGUCCCUAUCGACAAGAGGGUUUACGACCUCGAUGUUGGAUCAGGACAUCCUAAUGGUGCAGCCGCUAUUAAGGUUCGUU
rnacentral:rRNA from 1 species